rnacentral:lncRNA from 1 species
UCCUCUUCCUGCCGCCUCGGCUCUCUCCAAACCAAACCAAACCUGUUGCCGCCCGCUGCCUCCCCCUCUCUCGAUCCCCAAUCCAAACCAGCCGCCGCCAACCUCCAUCGUCUCCCCCAACCUCGGCCACCGCUCAUCUCCCCUUCUGCCCGGCCGUCUCGUCUCCUCUGUUGAUGCGCCGCCUCUCCCUCUGCCUCCGUGCUCAACAGGAGGAGCCGGGGUCGCAGCUGCACCGCACGACGGUGGGCGAGGGCGAGCUCCAGUGCAAGCACGUGGAUCCAUCUCCCACGCCGGCGGGGUCCCUGGCCCCGAGCUGCGCCUCUGCUCCGUUCUCACACGUGGCAGUCCUCGCCAUUCUGCCGGUGCAGAGCUCCUCCAUGACGGCAUCCAUCGGAUCCGGCCGGCCGAUAUCCGCACACCUCCUCUUGCAACUACCGGAGAAGAUGGAAAGAUAGGAAGACCCUACGCAAUAUACACCCCUGGCCACCGGUUCCGUCGCAGAUUUGAAAAGAUGAGCCCUCUUCCUCUCUUUUUUUCUCCUUCUCCGGUCCUCUUCUCUCCCUUUGUGCUGCUCCUCCCGGGAUCUCUCCCGCCAUGGCUUAGUAUGGGGCUUGCUAAUUAAAAAAGAGUAUGGUUGGUUCGAUUUGGUUCUCCUGGUGGUAUCUCUCCUACCUUUUUUUUCAAUUUCUAGCUUUGAUGCUUUGAUUUGUUGUCUUGCCACCAGGAGGGGUUAGGAGGAGUCAUGGAGGAGGAGGAAUGAGACAAGCAGGAGGAAGAGAUAUUCUUGUUCGAUUCGGUUGUCAUGAUGGCAUAUUUCCAACAACCUCCUAUCUUUUUUAGUUUCUUUUGAUGCUUGGAUUUGUUUUCCUGUCCAGCAGGAGUAGGAGGAGACAUGCAGGAUGAGGAAGGAGACAGACAAACGGAAGACAGAUUCUUGGGUGUGCACUCGCCUUAUGGACUCUAUAAACAGGUGCCUGUUGUAUUAUUCAUGCUUUUUUUUAUCUUACCACCAUCUCAAAUAGUGUUCAGUUCCCUUCCUUUCGCUUCGUUUUAGGAUCUAUGGGAAAUUUAAGUUGUGAUAUUUGGUGAAAAGAUAUUGUAAUUUUCUCAUGAAUAGUCUUCAUUCAGCCUAGAGAAAACACGAACGGUUUGUGUUUUAUCCUAUAUAUAUUGUUCAGUUCUAUUCCUUCACAUUGCUAUCAAAAAUGAUCAUGAGACAGGAGCUAUGGAGACAAGAUUAGGGCUGGAUUUUUCUUAGUUUAUGUUUCARGGGGGGGGGGGGUAGUUUCUAGCUGCGGUCAGGUAGAUGAAUUGCGAUGGAGACUUGGCAGAAGCAGUGGUUCGUUCGCAGUGGCCCGCGAGGGGCG